UACGUAGGUGGCGAGCGUUGUCCGGAUUUACUGGGCGUAAAGGGCGUGCAGGCGGUUUGUUAAGUGCAGGGUGAAGGCUCCCGGCUCAACUGGGAGAGGUCCUUGCAUACUGGCGAACUCGAGGGAGGCAGAGGAAAGUGGAAUUCCCGGUGUAGUGGUGAUAUGCGUAGAUAUCGGGAGGAACACCUGUGGCGAAGGCGGCUUUCUGGGCCUUACCUGACGCUGAGACGCGAAAGCGUGGGGAGCGAACCGG
rnacentral:rRNA from 1 species